rnacentral:rRNA from 1 species
GCUUAACACAUGCAAGUCGAGGGGCAGCAUUUUAGUUUGCUUGCAAACUGAAGAUGGCGACCGGCGCACGGGUGAGUAACACGUAUCCAACCUGCCGAUAACUCCGGAAUAGCCUUUCGAAAGAAAGAUUAAUACCGGAUAGCAUACGAAUAUCGCAUGAUAUUUUUAUUAAAGAAUUUCGGUCAUCGAUGGGGAUGCGUUCCAUUAGUUUGUUGGCGGGGUAACGGCCCACCAAGACAACGAUGGAUAGGGGUUCUGAGAGGAAGGUCCCCCACAUUGGAACUGAGACACGGUCCAAACUCCUACGGGAGGCAGCAGUGAGGAAUAUUGGUCAAUGGGCGAGAGCCUGAACCAGCCAAGUAGCGUGAAGGAUGAAGGCUCUAUGGGUCGUAAACUUCUUUUAUAUGGGAAUAAAGUUUUCCACGUGUGGAAUUUUGUAUGUACCAUAUGAAUAAGGAUCGGCUAACUCCGUGCCAGCAGCCGCGGUAAUACGGAGGAUCCGAGCGUUAUCCGGAUUUAUUGGGUUUAAAGGGAGCGUAGGUGGAUUGUUAAGUCAGUUGUGAAAGUUUGCGGCUCAACCGUAAAAUUGCAGUUGAAACUGGCAGUCUUGAGUACAGUAGAGGUGGGCGGAAUUCGUGGUGUAGCGGUGAAAUGCUUAGAUAUCACGAAGAACUCCGAUUGCGAAGGCAGCUCACUAGACUGUCACUGACACUGAUGCUCGAAAGUGUGGGUAUCAAACAGGAUUAGAUACCCUGGUAGUCCACACAGUAAACGAUGAAUACUCGCUGUUUGCGAUAUACAGUAAGCGGCCAAGCGAAAGCAUUAAGUAUUCCACCUGGGGAGUACGCCGGCAACGGUGAAACUCAAAGGAAUUGACGGGGGCCCGCACAAGCGGAGGAACAUGUGGUUUAAUUCAAUGAUACGCGAGGAACCUUACCCGGGCUUAAAUUGCAACAGAAUAUAUUGGAAACAGUAUAGCCGUAAGGCUGUUGUGAAGGUGCUGCAUGGUUGUCGUCAGCUCGUGCCGUGAGGUGUCGGCUUAAGUGCCAUAACGAGCGCAACCCUUAUCUUUAGUUACUAACAGGUGAUGCUGAGGACUCUAGAGAGACUGCCGUCGUAAGAUGUGAGGAAGGUGGGGAUGACGUCAAAUCAGCACGGCCCUUACGUCCGGGGCUACACACGUGUUACAAUGGGGGGUACAGAAGGCGGCUACCUGGUGACAGGAUGCUAAUCCCAAAAACCUCUCUCAGUUCGGAUCGAAGUCUGCAACCCGACUUCGUGAAGCUGGAUUCGCUAGUAAUCGCGCAUCAGCCAUGGCGCGGUGAAUACGUUCCCGGGCCUUGUACACACCGCCCGUCAAGCCAUGAAAGCCGGGGGUACCUGAAGUACGUAACCGCAAGGAGCGUCCUAGGGUAAAACUGGUAAUUGGGGCUAAGUCAUAACA